rnacentral:rRNA from 1 species
UACAGAGGGGGCAAGCGUUGUUCGGAAUUACUGGGCGUAAAGGGCGCGUAGGCGGCCUCUUAAGUCGAACGGGAAAUCCCCGGGCUCAACCCGGGAACUGCGUCCGAUACUGGGAGGCUUGAAUCCGGGAGAGGGAUGUGGAAUUCCAGGUGUAGCGGUGAAAUGCGUAGAUAUCUGGAGGAACACCGGUGGCGAAGGCGGCAUCCUGGACCGGUAUUGACGCUGAGGCGCGAAAGCUAGGGGAGCAAACGGG